rnacentral:rRNA from 1 species
AGCCGGCCUGAGAGGGCGACCGGCCACACUGGGACUGAGACACGGCCCAGACUCCUACGGGAGGCAGCAGUGGGGAAUAUUGCGCAAUGGGCGAAAGCCUGACGCAGCGACGCCGCGUGGGGGAUGAAGGCCUUCGGGUUGUAAACCCCUUUCAGCAGGGACGAAGCGAAAGUGACGGUACCUGCAGAAGAAGCGCCGGCUAACUACGUGCCAGCAGCCGCGGUAACACGUAGGGCGCAAGCGUUGUCCGGAAUUAUUGGGCGUAAAGAGCUCGUAGGCGGUCUGUUGCGUCCGCUGUGAAAACUCGGGGCUUAACCCCGAGCUUGCAGUGGAUACGGGCAGACUAGAGGUAGGUAGGGGAGAAUGGAAUUCCCGGUGUAGCGGUGAAAUGCGCAGAUAUCGGGAGGAACACCGGUGGCGAAGGCGGUUCU